UGAAGUUGGGAUCCCGUACAAGCUUCCUGCGAAGUAAGUCUCAUUGCAUUGGAAUAAGCUGGACUUGACUUUUGAUUGGAAUGUUGGACUUCUGAGAAAUCACACCCUGGAUCCAGUUGCAGGUUAAAUGUUCUCAGGCACGCCGAGCGAUCCUCGGCAAGUUUGCGUGGAGCUAACAGUCCCACAGAGUUUAAUUUCCCUGCCACAUUGCUUAGACUUGCACACCCCAAACGCUUCGGCGUCGUAAACCGUAGUGGGACUUGAGACGCAGGUUUAACUUUUGACUCCCAGCAAAUUGCAUGAAUCUCCCGCGCUUUGAAGUCAGUUCCACUGGACUCAAUAGGAAUUUAAUUUCCAAGUUAAGGUGUUUGGGAUUGGGGCAAGGGUUUGGAAUCUCUCCACCACUGCCACCCAGUUAUUUGCAAGCACUGAGGCUGAAGCUGUAAACAGGAAAACAACCAAGCAGUUGGGAAGCUGAUCUUAAAUACGGCGUCCUCUUUUGUAUUAAACAUCUUAUCUGGAGGAAGCAACGCUCACUGAUUUCAACGGAACAAACUUCCAGGCAAUAUUUUUAGGACAGGACUUCCAAACAAGAUUUGACCAUGUCUAACUCCCAGAUAGAUCCAUCACUAACAGCUCAAGCCCUAUGCAUGUUUAUUAGGUGGAAAGUCAUCCUUAGAAAGUUAAUUCCAUUGACACUAAUGCCAUUUAAUUGGAUCUACUAUUCUUUGGUUUUCUUCCACAGGUAAAUAUGUUUACAAACUGAUAUUAAAUGCGACAGUUUCGCCGAGUUCGAUGAGAUGUUCAAGAUGUUCCAUGCAAGCUUUACUUUUUAAAAAAAGUCCCACUUACAACUUAUUCUUAAACAUGGAAGUUAAGCCUCAUGGGCUUCAAAGGGACUUACUCUCAGCGAAGUCAAUUUCCACAGCCAACCGACGCUCACCAGGCUAGCGGCAUUUUUAUGACUCCGGUCAAGUGGCACCAUCUCUCCUCAAAGGGAACCUCGCCUGGAAAAGCAGCAGGAAAUUCGUCAGGCCGGCCCUGCACGAGGUUUUGAGCAGCGGUCCUUGGAUCGUUUGCAGCGAUCAAGCGCCACCGAGGGACAAACCUCGCCACGUCCUGCAGCGCCCAGAUAAUAAAUUCCCUACGUUCUUCAUAGUGAGACGAUCUUCUCCAGCAAUCGAACCCAUCACUCCAGUUAUACCCAACAUAUCAGAUCUCAUUCGCCUGGCUCUGGUUGAGGGCAAAGAUAAUACACACACCACACGGAUUUUAUUGGGAUUCCCUUCCGAGAAUGUGUCCUUUUGGUACGAUGCUUUCGUCAGCUCGCGUCCCAAAACGCACUUGAGGGCGCAUGUUCUAUUGAAAUAAAGGGGGCCUGCGGUCCAAGGAUCGGAAUGGUAGGUUAGAAAUCCCCAAGCACUCUUACACGGAUGUAUAUAUGAGAUCAUCUGAGUAUCCUUGCAUCCCAGUUCAACAGCGCUUACUCUUAAGUCUACAAAGAUUUUUGCAGUUUGGGCUGUUGGGGGCACCUUUCCUCCAAGGACAGCGGACAGUCAUACUAUAAACUUAGGUUUUACAACAAGAGGAAACUUUAUAAAGCAAUCGCUGGCCACGUGCAAUCCCAAAGGACUGGUAAAUGGUAAUUUUAAUUGUUGGUUGCAGUAGGAACAGAUCUGCAGUCACUGUUUAAAAAAUAAACACAGAAAGGCUCUUUGGUGCGGGACAGACUUCGCGCAGGUCCGUACCUGUGCACAGCCUAAAUUAUUCUAGAAAAUAGAAUAAACUAGGCACACUUUUCCUUAAAUAUGCAUGGAAUUGCUGUCUAAAGCUGCAGUGUAUGCUCACUUAUAACGGGAUAAAUCUCAUUGAUUUCAGUGGGACUUAUUUCCGAGGAAACAUGCAUAAUCUCUUAAACAUUCAGUAGAGCGCUGUGUGAAACUUUCUCCUGAAAGGUUGCAAAGAUGUCAGAAGUCCACAGUAACUCGGAGCAGGACUUUUAGUGUGGCUGUCCCUGUUCUGUGGAAUAGUAUGUUCCUGUUCAGAUAUGACAGGCGCCCAAUGGCCGCUAUCUUCACUUUCCGGAAACAAUUGAAGAACUGAAGACAGCUGGAUAAAUGAGUCUUUUCCAGGAGUGUCUAAUUUGUAUUACUUUGGUUCUGUAUUAAAUAUAACGGCUGUUUUGUGUUUUAAA